rnacentral:lncRNA from 1 species
UGAGGAAAGAAACUGAUUCAUGCAUCAUUUUACAUAAGGGACUGCAACUUGGAGCCAUGAGAGAUCAUUUUUUUUUGUUUGUAAUUAUAUAUCUUUCUUGAUGCAUCCACCUUCAAACUUUCAAAUAAUUCUCUUUUUGUGAGUUUCAAUUGGAAUUUUGCCUUUGUGGAAUUUGCUACUACAUUCCUAGUGAAACCUAAGUUGGUAUCCCUGCGUUUUCUAAUUUUAAAAAGGAUGCCUUUAUUGACUAAUGUAAGGCUCUCCAAAAUCUGAUUUUGAUUUUAUUUAUUUCAUCAUGAAUCAUAUGAUUAGUUUUUCUUAUGAAAUUUCUCUUAAGAAUAAGGAAA